rnacentral:rRNA from 1 species
UUACGGGAGGCAGCAGUGGGGAAUAUUGGACAAUGGGCGAAAGCCUGAUCCAGCAAUACCGCGUGUGUGAAGAAGGCCUUAGGGUUGUAAAGCACUUUCAAUUGGGAGGAAAACCUACCGGUCAAUACCCGGUAGCUUGACAUUACCUUUAGAAGAAGCACCGGCUAACUCCGUGCCAGCAGCCGCGGUAAUACGGAGGGUGCAAGCGUUAAUCGGAAUUACUGGGCGUAAAGCGUGCGUAGGCGGUUCGUUAAGUCAGAUGUGAAAGCCCUGGGCUCAACCUGGGAACUGCAUUUGAAACUGGCGGACUAGAGUUUAGUAGAGGGGAGUGGAAUUUCAGGUGUAGCGGUGAAAUGCGUAGAUAUCUGAAGGAACACCAGUGGCGAAGGCGACUCCCUGGACUAAAACUGACGCUGAGGUACGAAAGCGUGGGUAGCAAACAGGAUUAGAUACCCCGGUAGC